ensembl:lncRNA
GUAGGAACGCCUACUUCAUAGACUUCGUAGUACACAGCGACUGAAUGGAUGUAGCUAAAAGAGUCGUUCAUAAAGAAUCGACCUCACCCGAUUCAGUGAGAUCGAUUCAUUCGAACGAGUCCACUGUUGUACAGUUUCCCUUUAAAGUUAGUUGCACCUAUGAGCUCGCGCAGGGUCCGGGCGCGUCACCGAGCAAUUAGAGGGAAACACACACACACACACACACACACACCCGCACACACAUACACACACACACACAGAGCAGAGUUAGAUCCCAAAGCACACAUUUCUCUUCAUCACUGAAAGGAUUUCGGAAGUAAAGGAGGCUCGCGCGCUUUCACACUAAAACCACUGGAUCAAAAUCUGGAGAUGUACACUGACUUUUUUUUUUUUUUUUUUUUUUUGUUGUGUGUGUGUGUGUGUGUGUGUGUGUGUGUGUGUGUGUAUCAAACUGAACAAUGUGGGAUAGGUGUGGAAAAAACCAGCACAGGGUCGUGGGAAGCCUGGAGCCUUUCCCAGGGGAUUCGGGGCACAAGACAGGGGACACGCUGGACACCCAUCGCAGGACACAUUCACACACACAUUCACAUACUACGGACCAUUUAGAGAUGCAAAUCUGCCUACAGUGUAUAUCUUUGGACUGGGGGAGGAAACUGGAGUACCCGGAGGAAACCUUUGAAGCACAGGGAGAGCAUGCUCUGUGCACACAGGGUGGAGGAGGAAUUCGAACCCCCCAUCCCUGGAGGUGCGAAGCAAAUGUGCUAACCACUAAACCACCAAAUAAUAACUCAACAAUUCUAAUGAAACUCUUAUCAGUCUUUAAGCUAAAUAACCAAACUGUAACACUAUUUAUGUGUUCAGAUAUUGCCAUUUAUCAAGAACAAAAAGAAGCAACAGCAACAAUAUUAUAUUCAGGAUGUACUUUUCUUGUACAAUUUUGUUUUAUAACACUGAUUUGUUGUUCUGUUCUAUACAGUAUGUACACUUUGUUCAUCAUUAAAUAUAUAUAUAUAUAUAUAUAUAUAUAUAUAUAUAUAUAUAUAUAUAUAUAUAUAUAUAUAUAUAUAUAUCAAUUAAAUAGGGGGCAGUGGGAGCAGAAAGAGCUCUGUUCACUCAGAGAAAGAUGAAGAAUGUGAUGGGGAAAGAGGAAGGAUGUAGAGAAUCAGGUUGCUUAAUAUAGACAAACAUUUUCAGUAUCUGUCACAGUCCCUAAAGCCUCAGUAAUGUGUACCAUGGGAUUAACACUCCUGUGUUUAUGAGCACACACACACACACACAUUAGUAAAAUCCAACAGUUCUCAUCAGUGUGUGACUGUGGACUCUCUGACCUUACUGUGAGAGUAAACAGCAGUCAUAAAGUAGCCAAACACGGCUAAAGCCAUGAACUAGUUUAUUAGACAUCCAUAUAUCCGGAGCUGCUCCCCAAUAAAGACGUCAUGGAUAGUGAUGAACUCUCAGCUAGUGGGAGGAAACAAUAGAGAGAGAGAGAGAGAGAGAGAGAUGAAUUAUAGGUGUACUAUAUAACUCAGUAUACUAUAUAUAGUGCAAAAUAAUAUUCUUUUCAGUGUUUCACACACUUCACAUUCCAGGUGCACCGCAACAUGGCUGCACUGGAAAAAGUGCAAAUCCUUCCCCACUUUUGUAUAUUGCACUGUGUUUAUUGUCUUCUUAUGUACUUUUUUUCAUUAUGUAUGUUUUUAUUCUGUUUUGAUCGUUUGUUUUGACUUGGGUCCAUACGGCAUAAGGAAACCCCAGCAUGCUCAGCACUUAGUCACUGACUUCAUGUCUCUUUAGUUAAUGUACAGUAUAAUUCAAAAGUUUGGACAUGCAUUGUAAUAGAGAGGGGUUUAUUUUCUCCCCCAUAUUUUCAGUAAUUUCUACCUUUUAAAAUAAUAGUGAAGACAUUCAUUGGAUCUGACUGGACGGAUCUGGAGUCUGUCCCGGGAACACUAGGGUACAGGGCACCAUGCAGACAUCAGAAACUAUACAAUAACUUAUGUGGAAUUAUUCUGUGUAUGCCCCUCCGCCCCCUCCCC